UACGGAGGGUGCGAGCGUUGUCCGGAAUCACUGGGCGUAAAGGGCGCGUAGGCGGCGCGACAAGUCAAUGGUGAAAGCCCGAGGCUCAACUUCGGGUCGGCCACUGAUACUGUUGGGCUUGAGCACUGUAGAGGCAGGUGGAAUUCCGGGUGUAGCGGUGGAAUGCGUAGAGAUCCGGAAGAACGCCGGUGGCGAAGGCGGCCUGCUGGGCAGUAGCCGAAAGGCUUUCAAGCUGACACUGAGGCGCGACAGCGUGGGGAGCAAACAGG
rnacentral:rRNA from 1 species